rnacentral:rRNA from 1 species
CACGGGGGUUGCGAGCGUUGUCCGGAAUUACUAGGCGUAAAGGGCAGGCAGGCGGAUCCAUAAGUUUAUCGUUUAAGGCGUCGGCUUAACCGGCGUAGGGCGGUAGAUACUGUGGAUCUGGAAUGCUGUUGGGGAAGACAGAAUUCCUGGUGUAGCGGUGGAAUGCGCAGAGAUCAGGAGGAAUACCGAAGGCGAAGGCAGUCUUCCAAGCCGUUAUUGACGCUCAACUGCGAAGGUGUGGGUAUCAAACAGGAUUAGAUACCCGCGUAGUCCCUGA